rnacentral:rRNA from 1 species
UUGACUGGGGCGGUCGCCUCCCAAAAGGUAACGGAGGCGCUCAAAGGUUCUCUCAGUACGGUCGGAAAUCGUACGUAGAGUGUAAAGGCAAAAGAGAGCUUGAUUGCAAGACAUACAGGUCGAGCAAGGAUGAAAAUCGGACUUAGUGAUCCGGUGGUGCUGCGUGGAAGGGCCAUCGCUCAACGGAUAAAAGCUACCCUGGGGAUAACAGGCUUAUCUCCCCCAAGAGUCCACAUCGACGGGGAGGUUUGGCACCUCGAUGUCGGCUCAUCACAUCCUGGGGCUGUAGUAGGUCCCAAGGGUUGGG